rnacentral:tRNA from 1 species
CGGGCCGUAGCGCAGCAUGGUAGCGCGCCUGAAUGGGGUUCAGGAGGCCCCCGGUUCAAGUCCGGGCGGCCCGA